rnacentral:rRNA from 1 species
AACCUUACCAAGACUUGACAUCCCGCUGACCGGUUUAGAGAUAGACCUUCCCUUCGGGGCAGCGGUGACAGGUGGUGCAUGGUUGUCGUCAGCUCGUGUCGUGAGAUGUUGGGUUAAGUCCCGCAACGAGCGCAACCCCUAAAUUGUGUUGCCAUCAUUCAGUUGGGCACUCACAAUUGACUGCCGGUGACAAACCGGAGGAAGGCGGGGAUGACGUCAAAUCAUCAUGCCCCUUAUGUCUUGGGCUACACACGUGCUACAAUGGGCGGUACGAAGGGUUGCGAUGCCGCGAGGCAGAGCCAAUCCCAAAAAGCCGCUCACAGUUCGGAUUGCAGGCUGCAACUCGCCUGCAUGAAGCUGGAAUUGCUAGUAAUCGCGGAUCAGCAUGCCGCGGUGAAUUCGUUCCCGGGCCUUGUACACACCGCCCGUCACACCAUGGGAGUUGGCAACACCCGAAGCCGGUGAGGUAACCGCAAGGAGCCAGCCGUCUAAGGUGGGGUCGAUGACUGGGGUGAAGUCGUAUCAGUAGCCAGGGCGAUUCCAGCACACUGCGCCGUACUAGUGAUU